rnacentral:snRNA from 2 species
CUGCUCACUUUGGCAGCACAUAUACCAAAAUUGGAAUGAUACAGAGAAGAUUAGCAUGGCCCUUGUGAAAGGAUGACACCCCAAAAGCAGGGGAAAAACCUAUACAA